rnacentral:rRNA from 1 species
UACGUAGGGGGCAAGCGUUGUCCGGAUUUAUUGGGCGUAAAGAGCUCGUAGGCGGUUUGGUAAGUCGGGUGUGAAAUCUCCACGCUCAACGUGGAGGGGCCACCCGAUACUGCCAUGACUGGAGUCCGGUAGGGGAGUGUGGAAUUCUCGGUGUAGCGGUGAAAUGCGUAGAUAUCGAGAGGAACACCUGCGGCGAAGGCGGGUUGCUGGGCUGAUACUGACGCUGAGGCGCGAAAGCCAGGGGAGCGAACGGG